GGGCGAUUAGCUCAUUUGGCUAGAGCGCUUCAUUGACGUUGAAGAGGUGAGAGGUUCGAAUCCUCUAUUGCCCA
rnacentral:tRNA from 1 species